UGAUGCGAUCAUACCAGCACUAAAGCACCGGAACCAAUCAAAACUCCGAAGUUAAGCAUGCUUGGGCGAGCGUAGUACUCGGAUGGGUGACCUCCUGGGAAGUCCUCGUGUUGCAUUCC
rfam:Triticum urartu cultivar G1812 contig1160098, whole genome shotgun sequence.